AUGGACUUGAAUCAAGGCUGACAGUUUUCUGAAACUGUUGGUUUCAAGCAGGAGCCUAAAGUGGUAUCUUUCUAUGGUCUGUUGGCCAUUUCAGAACUUCCUUGGUGAAUUGGCUGGGGUGGGUCAGAGAAGCCACC
ensembl:snoRNA small nucleolar RNA SNORA2/SNORA34 family